GGUCCUUUUCAAUUUGCCAUUCACGCUUCGGAGAAGUAAAGCUUCAUAAAUUGCUUGUCUUUUGUUGUCUGACAAAUUCUUCCUUUUGUUCACCAUGGCGGCAUGUUCAGUUUGGCUGCCUAUGACAUCAUUAUCAUUCCAAAGUCAUUAUGUGAUUAUUAUGAAACUAAUAUAUUUUUUAAUGUUGUUUUAACCUUGAUCAACAUUUUCUGCAUCACUGGACCCGUCGAGCGCCUCUUCGUCCAAGGCAAAGUUGAGAUCAAAGGUGGUUGUUUCAUCGGCGUCAUUGAACGCAGAAGCUAGAUGUACAAAUCAAAGAAAAAUCAGAUUGGACCAUUGGAGCUCGUCUUCGGCGAAGCUGACAUGAAAAUCGACCGCAUACACAUCGGCGUCCUCAUCUACACGGUGGCAGUAAGAAGAACGGGGCAUUGAAGCCAUCCACUUCAUCUACACAGCAGAGUAAGAAAAGUAUGAAGU